rnacentral:rRNA from 2 species
UGGGGAAUAUUGCACAAUGGAGGGAACUCUGAUGCAGCGACGCCGCGUGAACGAAGAAGGCUUUCGAGUCGUAAAGUUCUUUUAUAUGGGAAGAUAAUGACGGUACCAUAAGAAAAAGCCCCGGCUAACUACGUGCCAGCAGCCGCGGUAAUACGUAGGGGGCUAGCGUUGUCCGGAAUCACUGGGCGUAAAGGGUUCGCAGGCGGAAAUGCAAGUCAGGUGUAAAAGGCAGUAGCUUAACUACUGUAAGCAUUUGAAACUGCAUAUCUUGAGAAGAGUAGAGGUAAGUGGAAUUUUUUGUGUAGCGGUGAAAUGCGUAGAUAUUAAAAAGAAUACCGGUGGCGAAGGCGACUUACUGGGCUCAUUCUGACGCUGAGGAACGAAAGCGUGGGUAGCAAACAGG